GACGAACGCUGGCGGCGCGCCUAACACAUGCAAGUCGAACGCGAACGGGGAGGCAACUCCUCUAGUAGCGUGGCGAACGGGUGAGUAACACGUGGGUAACCUACCUCCGGGUGGGGAAUAACCCUGGGAAACUGGGGCUAAUACCGCAUAACGUUACCGGGACGCAUGUCCUGGCAACUAAAGCGGGGGACCGAAAGGCCUCGCGCCUGGAGAGGGGCCCGCGGCCGAUUAGCUAGUUGGUGGGGUAAUGGCCUACCAAGGCGAUGACGGGUAGCUGGUCUGAGAGGACGAUCAGCCACACUGGCACUGAGACACGGGCCAGACUCCUACGGGAGGCAGCAUG
rnacentral:rRNA from 1 species